GAUGAACGCUGGCGGCGUGCCUAAUACAUGCAAGUCGAGCGAACAGACGAGGAGCUUGCUCCUCUGACGUUAGCGGCGGACGGGUGAGUAACACGUGGAUAACCUACCUAUAAGACUGGGAUAACUUCGGGAAACCGGAGCUAAUACCGGAUAAUAUAUUGAACCGCAUGGUUCAAUAGUGAAAGACGGUUUUGCUGUCACUUAUAGAUGGAUCCGCGCCGCAUUAGCUAGUUGGUAAGGUAACGGCUUACCAAGGCGACGAUGCGUAGCCGACCUGAGAGGGUGAUCGGCCACACUGGAACUGAGACACGGUCCAGACUCCUACGGGAGGCAGCCGUAGGGAAUCUUCAGCAAUGGGAGAAAGCCUGACGGAGCAACGCCGCGUGAGUGAUGAAGGUCUUCGGAUCGUAAACCUCUGUUAUUAGGGAAGAACAAAUGUGUAAGUAACUAUGCACGUCUUGACGGUACCUAAUCAGAAAGCCACGGCUAACUACGUG
rnacentral:rRNA from 1 species